CAGUCGAGCGAACAGAAGGGAGCUUGCUCCCGGAUGUUAGCGGCGGACGGGUGAGUAACACGUGGGUAACCUGCCUGUAAGACUGGGAUAACUCCGGGAAACCGGAGCUAAUACCGGAUAGUUCCUUGAACCGCAUGGUUCAAGGAUGAAAGACGGUUUCGGCUGUCACUUACAGAUGGACCCGCGGCGCAUUAGCUAGUUGGUGGGGUAAUGGCUCACCAAGGCGACGAUGCGUAGCCGACCUGAGAGGGUGAUCGGCCACACUGGGACUGAGACACGGCCCAGACUCCUACGGGAGGCAGCAGUAGGGAAUCUUCCGCAAUGGACGAAAGUCUGACGGAGCAACGCCGCGUGAGUGAUGAAGGUUUUCGGAUCGUAAAGCUCUGUUGUUAGGGAAGAACAAGUGCGAGAGUAACUGCUCGCACCUUGACGGUACCUAACCAGAAAGCCACGGCUAACUACGUGCCAGCAGCCGCGGUAAUACGUAGGUGGCAAGCGUUGUCCGGAAUUAUUGGGCGUAAAGGGCUCGCAGGCGGUUUCUUAAGUCUGAUGUGAAAGCCCCCGGCUCAACCGGGGAGGGUCAUUGGAAACUGGGAAACUUGAGUGCAGAAGAGGAGAGUGGAAUUCCACGUGUAGCGGUGAAAUGCGUAGAGAUGUGGAGGAACACCAGUGGCGAAGGCGACUCUCUGGUCUGUAACUGACGCUGAGGAGCGAAAGCGUGGGGAGCGAACAGGAUUAGAUACCCUGGUAGUCCACGCCGUANACGAUGAGUGCUAAGUGUUAGGGGGUUUCCGCCCCUUAGUGCUGCAGCUAACGCAUUAAGCACUCCGCCUGGGGAGUACGGUCGCAAGACUGAAACU
rnacentral:rRNA from 1 species